AAGCUGGGCCACGCCCUUCGGGGUGGAACUUGCACAGGUGCUGCAUGGCCGUCUAAAGCUCGUGUCGUGAGAUGUCGGGUUAAGUCCCUUAACGAGCGAAACCCUUGUCACUAGUUGCCAGCGAGUAAUGUCGGGGACUCUAGUGAGACUGCCGGCGUUAAGCCGGAGGAAGGUGGGGAUGACGUCAAGUCCUCAUGGCCCUUAUGACUAGGGCUGCACACGUCCUACAAUGGCACGCACAAAGGGAUGCUAACUCGCGAGAGCA
rnacentral:rRNA from 1 species